AAUCCGUCGACUUUAUAAGUCGUGAGGGUUCAAGU
rnacentral:tRNA from 2 species